rnacentral:rRNA from 1 species
CCUACGGGUGGCUGCAGUGAGGAAUAUUGGUCAAUGGGCGAAAGCCUGAACCAGCCAUCCCGCGUGCAGGAAGACGGCCCUAUGGGUUGUAAACUGCUUUUCCAGGGGGCGAACAGUAUCGACGUGUCGGUAUUUGACGGUACCCUGGGAAUAAGCAUCGGCUAACUCCGUGCCAGCAGCCGCGGUAAUACGGAGGAUGCGGGCGUUAUCCGGAUUUAUUGGUUUUAAGGGGUAUAAAGAAGUCAAAAUAGAAACCCUGCAGCUUAACUGUAGACUUGCCGUUGAUACUGUUGGUCUUGAGUAUGGUCAAGGUAGGCGGAAUGUGUAAUGUAGCGGUGAAAUGCUUAGAUAUUACACAGAACACCGAUUGCGAAGGCAGCUUGCUGGACCAAUACUGACGCUGAUGCACGAAAGCGUGGGGAUCGAACAGGAUUAGAUACCCCAGUAGUC